GACGAACGCUGGCGGCGUGCCUAAUACAUGCCAGUCGAACGCAGUGGGGACGGGUGAGUAACACGUGGGUAACCUCCCAUCAGAGGGGAUAACCCUUGGAAACAGGUGCUAAACCGAUACUGAUGGAUGGACCCGCGGUGCAUUAGCUAGUUGGUGAGGUAACGGCUCACCAGGGCCACGAGGCAUCGCCGAGCUGAGAGGUGGAUCGGCAAAACUGGGACUGAGACACGGCCCAGACUCCUACGGGAGGCAGCAGUAGGGAAUCUUCGGCAAUGGACGAAAGUCUGACCGAGCAACGCCGCGUGAGUGAAGAAGGUUUUCGGAUCGUAAAACUCUGUUGGUAAGGUAGCGGUACUUAACCAGAAAGGGACGGCUAACUACGUGCCAGCCGCCGCGGUAAUAC
rnacentral:rRNA from 1 species